UCUCGAUAACGUAAAAGUUAACUUUACUUUGUAUGGAGUUGGAACGUUUGCCUACGUUUGCCGCUAGGGGCGCUGUUCCAAUUGCAAACAAAUGUGAACUUUUACGCUAUCGA
rnacentral:pre_miRNA from 9 species